UACAGAGGUCCCAAGCGUUGUUCGGAUUCACUGGGCGUAAAGGGUGCGUAGGCGGUCGGGUAAGUCUGAUGUGAAAUCUCCAAGCCUAACUUGGAAACUGCAUUGGAUACUAUCCGGCUAGAGGAAUGGAGGGAGACUGGAAUACUUGGUGUAGCAGUGAAAUGCGUAGAUAUCAAGUGGAACACCAGUGGCGAAGGCGAGUCUCUGGACAUUUCCUGACGCUGAGGCACGAAAGCCAGGGGAGCAAACGGG
rnacentral:rRNA from 1 species